UUAGUUCACCAUAAUCAUGGUGAAAAUAGAAGAAUUGAAUGGAAAGAAUGUAAAAGAUAACCCUAGAUUUGUAAUAUUGGAGCUAUCGCAUCCAAGAUCCGCCUCCAAGGUUUGAAAAUCGUGUUUUUGCGUCCUUUCUUCCAAAAGAUACAUGCUCUGGUUCGUGCACUUCUAUUUAAAGCACAGAAAAAUAACUGAAAAUAAGCUCAGGCCCAUAAGUACACCGCCCGAUGGUAGGCACUACACCUGAUCCACCCCUCAGCGCUGUCGCUUGAGCGUUCUCUUUAAAUUCCACUGACGAGUCCACCGCCCGGCAGUGGGUUGUACCGCCCGACGGUGGCUGCGGUUCCAUCUUCACCCCUUGGUGGUGCCUUUUAAGUGUGUGGCAGUGUAAUCAUUGAAGGUCUCACCAUCCGGCGGUGCUAUCACUGAGCUGCGGUGGCAGUGGUUCA
rnacentral:lncRNA from 1 species